rnacentral:tRNA from 1 species
GGCUUGUUAGCUCAAUUGGUAGAGCGCUGCGCCGGUAUCGCAGAGGUCAUGGGUUCAAAUCCCGUACGGGCCU